AGACGGGUGAGUAACACGUAGGUAAUCUACCUCAAAGACUGGGACAACAGUUAGAAAUGACUGCUAAUACCGGAUAAUUCAUAAUUAGAUAACUGAUUAUGCUAAAAGAAGCGUUCGCUUCACUUUGAGAUGAGCUUGCGGUGUAUUAGCUAGUUGGUGAGGUAAUGGCUCACCAAGGCAACGAUGCAUAGCCGAGCUGAGAGGCUGAACGGCCACAUUGGGACUGAGACACGGCCCAGACUCCUACGGGAGACAGCAGUUAGGAAUAUUCGUCAAUGGGGGAAACCCUGAACGAGCAAUGCCGCGUGAGUGAUGACGGUCUUAUAGACUGUAAAACUCUGUUGCAAGGGAAGAAACCUUGGUAUAGGAAAUGAUAUCAAGCUGACGGUACCUUGCCAGAAAGCCCCGGCUAACUACGUGCCAGCAGCCGCGGUAAUACGUAGGGGGCGAGCGUUAUCCGGAUUUAUUGGGCGUAAAG
rnacentral:rRNA from 1 species